rnacentral:rRNA from 1 species
GACGGAGGGUGCAAGCGUUAUCCGGAUUUACUGGGUUUAAAGGGUGCGUAGGCGGGCAGGUAAGUCUGUGGUGAAAUCUCCGAGCUUAACUCGGGAACUGCCAUGGAUACUAUUUGUCUUGAAUACCGUGGAGGUGAGCGGAACAUGGCAUGUAGCGGUGAAAUGCUUAGAUAUGCCAUAGAACACCUAUUGCGAAGGCAGCUCACUACACGGUGAUUGACGCUGAGGCACGAAAGCGUGGGUAGCGAACAGG